GACGUAGGGCGCGAGCGUUGUCCGGAUUUAUUGGGCGUAAAGAGCUCGUAGGCGGCUUGUCGCGUCGACUGUGAAAACCCGCAGCUCAACUGUGGGCUUGCAGCCGAUACGGGCAGGCUAGAGUUCGGUAGGGGAGACUGGAAUACCUGGUGUAGUGGUGAAAUACGUAGAUAUCAGGUGGAAUACCGGUGGCGAAGGCGGCCAAUUGGCCCAACACUGACGCUGAGAUACGAAAGCGUGGGGAUCAAACAGG
rnacentral:rRNA from 1 species